UUGUUCUUUACGUGUUUUUCUCUCUUCUCAUCAAGAAAGGUUAUGGGCCCAGAACGUUUAAAUCUGGCUCAAUCAUGUCAAAGUCUGAACUAAGUCACAUCGAGCAAUUCAAUGGAACAAACUUCCAACUUUGGAAAUAUAAAAUGCUGGCUUGUACUCGAACAGCAUGAACUACUUGACAUUGUCGAGGGUAGAGAUUUGCUGCCCGUAGCCACAGUUGCUCAAGGGAAUGUUACCAAUCAAAAAGCCAUUAAUCUUUGGAAAAAGAAAGACACUAAUGCGAGACUGAUCUUGAUGACCACAAUCAGCCCCAAAGAGCAGCAGGCAUUCGUAAACUGCAGAUCUGCAUUCGCAAUAUGGACAAAACUAGCUGCACAGCACAUGCAGAAUGCCUCAGCUAGCACCCACGUCCUUCAAGCUACAGUAUGUUAAAGGUCAUACCAUCAUGCAACAUAUUACUGCUAUUGAGGGGAUGGCUCAACAGCUGGAUGACUUGAAUCAAUCCAUGAGUCAAUCCCAGAUCAUGACGAAGAUAGUAUCGACUUUACCCUCAAGCUACAGACACUUCAUGACUGUUUGGGACAAUUUAGCAGAAACUGAAAAAACUAUGCCGCAUCUAAUCACGAAGUUUAUGAACGAGCAACAUCGUGAAU